UUUCCGUAGGUGAACCUGCGGAAGGAUCAUUAUAGUAUGGCCAAGGUGCGAGGGCUGUCGCUGGCAAGAAAGGUCGUGCACGCCCGAGUGAGCCCACACACAUCCAUCUCACCCCGAUGUGCAGCCCCGCGGGGGUCGCUCUUUGGCUUUUUCGGAGGGGGGCUUACGUUCGCACACAAUCUUUAUAUGUAGUGUAGAAUUUAUUUUUCGUUUUUGCGGUCACGCAAUCAAUACAACUUUCAACAACGGAUCUCUUGGCUCUG
rnacentral:misc_RNA from 1 species